GGGGGGUGCAAGCGUUUAUUCGGAAUCACUGGGCGUAAAGAGCGCGUAGGCGGUCUCUUAAGUCAGAUGUGAAAGCCCGGGGCUCAACCCCGGAAGUGCAUUUGAAACGAAGGGACUUGAGUAUGGGAGAGGGAAGUGGAAUUCCUGGUGUAGCGGUGAAAUGCGUAGAUAUCAGGAGGAACACCGGUGGCGAUGGCGACUUCCUGGACCAAUACUGACGCUGAGGCGCGAAGGCGUGGGGAGCAAACAGGAUUAGAUACCCUGGUAGUCCACGCAGUAAACGUUGAACACUAGGUGUAGCGGGUAUUGACCCCCCUGCUGUGCCCGCAGCUAACGCAUUAAGUGUUCCGCCUGGGGAGUACGGCCGCAAGGCUA
rnacentral:rRNA from 1 species